rnacentral:rRNA from 1 species
UACGUGGGGGGCUAGCGUUGUCCGGAAUCAUUGGGCGUAAAGCGCGUGUAGGCGGCCCGGUAAGUCCGCUGUGAAAGUCCAGGGCUCAACCCUGGGAUGCCGGUGGAUACUGUCGGGCCCGAGUCCGGAAGAGGCGAGUGGAAUUCCUGGUGUAGCGGUGAAAUGCGCAGAUAUCAGGAGGAGCACCAAUGGCGAAGGCAGCUCGCUGGGACGUGACUGACGCUGAGACGCGAAAGCGUGGGAGCAACAGG